rnacentral:rRNA from 1 species
CCCCGGUGAAAACGCCCUUAGAUCCCCUCUAGGGAAAAGGAGCUGGUAUCAGGCACGAAAAUCUGCCCAAAACACCUAGCUAUGCCACACCCACAAGGGAACUCAGCAGUGAUUAACAUUGAACAUAAGCGACAGCUUGAUUCAGUUAAAGUAAAGAGAGCCGGCAAAUCUGGUGCCAGCCGCCGCGGUUAUCCCACGUGGCUCAAAUUGAUCUCCCACGGCGUAAAGCGUGAUUAAAGUCCUCAUCAGACUGAAGUUAAAUUAAAACUAAGCCGUAACACGCUUGUCUUACGGAAACCCACAAACGAAAGUUACUUCAACCUAAACUACUUGAAUACACGACAAUCAGGACACAAACUGGGAUUAGAUACCCCACUAUGCCUGAUCGUAAACUUUAAAUUACACCCCCCCAUCGCCAGGGAACUACGAGCCAAGCUUAAAACUCAAAGGACUUGACGGUACCCCAUAUCCCCCUAGAGGAGCCUGUCCUAUAAUCGAUAAUCCCCGCUAAACCUCACCACUUUUAGCUUCUCAGCCUGUAUACCUCCGUCGUCAGCUUACCUCGUGAGCGAAACUUAGUGAGCUUAAUGUCCACACGCCCAUACGUCAGGUCAAGGUGCAGUAAAUGAAGUGGUAAGAGAUGGGCUACACUUUCUAGUUUAGAAAACACGAAAGACCACAUAUGAAAUCUGGUCAAAAGGCGGAUUUAGUAGUAAAAGAAAAACAGAGUGUUUCUUUAAAUCUGGCACUGGGGUGUGUACACACCGCCCGUCACCCUCUUCAAAGCUUAACUACAGUAUCUAACCACUUGAUGCCCCACAGAAGAGGCAAGUCGUNNNNNNNNNNNNNNNNNNNNNNNNGUGCUUGGAAA